rnacentral:rRNA from 1 species
CUACGGGAGGCAGCAGUGGGGAAUAUUGCACAAUGGGCGCAAGCCUGAUGCAGCCAUGCCGCGUGUAUGAAGAAGGCCUUCGGGUUGUAAAGUACUUUCAGCGGGGAGGAAGGUGUUGUGGUUAAUAACCACAGCAAUUGACGUUACCCGCAGAAGAAGCACCGGCUAACUCCGUGCCAGCAGCCGCGGUAAUACGGAGGGUGCAAGCGUUAAUCGGAAUUACUGGGCGUAAAGCGCACGCAGGCGGUCUGUCAAGUCGGAUGUGAAAUCCCCGGGCUCAACCUGGGAACUGCAUUCGAAACUGGCAGGCUAGAGUCUUGUAGAGGGGGGUAGAAUUCCAGGUGUAGCGGUGAAAUGCGUAGAGAUCUGGAGGAAUACCGGUGGCGAAGGCGGCCCCCUGGACAAAGACUGACGCUCAGGUGCGAAAGCGUGGGGAGCAAACAGGAUUAGAUACCCUUGUAGUCC